rnacentral:rRNA from 1 species
UACGUAGGGGACGAGCGUUGUCCGGAAUUACUGGGCGUAAAGGGUGCGUAGGUGGUUUCUUAAGUCAGAGGUGAAAGGCUACGGCUCAACCGUAGUAAGCCUUUGAAACUGAGAAACUUGAGUGCAGGAGAGGAGAGUAGAAUUCCUAGUGUAGCGGUGAAAUGCGUAGAUAUUAGGAGGAAUACCAGUUGCGAAGGCGGCUCUCUGGACUGUAACUGACACUGAGGCACGAAAGCGUGGGGAGCAAACAGGAUUAGAUACCCCUGUAGUCCCUGA